GCUGAGCCGGUGACGGGCUCGCAGCUGCGUGGGAGCGCUUCGAUCGCCCCUGGCCAAGGGGUGUUAUUGCCCCCCCAGCUAAGGGUCCCAGCUGUCUGAUGCCGCUUAUCGCAAAAUCACAGAACCAACUAGGCUGGAAAAGACCUUUGAGAUCAGCGAGUCCAAUUUAUGACCAACACGGUUAUGGCAGUGAGCGCCACAUCCAGUCUUUCCUUAAACACCUUCAGGGGCAGCAGGAGUCCGGGAUUUAAACUGACCUCGUCUCGACUGGUUUUUAUACUAGAGCUCGGAUUUCCAAACCUUUUAAGGGCUGGAAUUGUGAAUUUGAACAUCGUAGCUGCCAGCAGGAGAUUUGCAGGGAAGUGCCUCGAGUUCAGCAUUCAGUUCCACUGUUGAAACACUGCUUGUGGGAACCCUGGCAAGUGAUGCUGUUCAUUGCAUAUGUCUCUUUCAAGUGUCAUGUUUUCUGAUCCAACAAAUCUAUGAAAGUCAGCACCACUGCUGGUUUUUAGUUCACAACUCAACAGCUGGAUUUCAUCUGAACAUAUGAUCAAAGAGAGACACUAUCAGGAUGCAGAAAGCUGUGUUCAAAAUAAGGAUAACCAGACAGCAUUAGAACAUUCAAAAGGAUACUGUCUCCAUAUCAGAAGUGCAAAUCCAAAUGCUGCAGUUCAAGCUCAUCAAUAUUGAUUCAGAUGACCAACUUUGCUGUAGUGCUUGACCCAGCUGGGACUGGCAGUAGCAUCUUGAAGUAACAAAACAUAUCUGAGCACGGUCCUGCUCACCCUCAGGGCCUCUCCAAGGCCACAAUUUCACAGGGAACAUGGUCCUGGCAAAUGCUGCUGAUCUCAUGAGGACUGGGAAUAUGGUUUGUUUGUUUGCUUGCUGGUUUGUUCCUAUUAGCUAUGCCCAAUUAAAAUGCAGUUAAAUAAACA